UUAGCCCUUUUGCAGGUUGGGUAGGUCCUAGGUAUAGGGGAGACUCUGCCGGAUUUUCGGCACGACUUAGGACGUAAUUGGUCUUUUUCUUUAUUUGUAUUGAGUCAGAUUGUAUUAAAUAAAUGUAAUAUGAUUGUCAGGUGAGCCGGGACAGCCUUCUUCCUCUGCCCAGCCGCCACAGUAAUUUGUCGUCAAGUCUGCCACAGGAGGAUAUUUUGUUCUGGGUUAACCUGCCUUUUUACCUCGCAGGUUGUUUAUCAAUAUUGUGUAAUUUUAAUUACUCCUAGAAUUUCCGCAUGUGUUAGCAGUAUUUAUUUGAAUUUGGUCUGUAAUAUUUUUAUCAUGUUGGACCUGUAAACUUAAAUAUGUUAUGCAUGUUGAUGGAUUGGAUGAGGGAGCUGAGCUCCCAUUUAUUUUA